AGCGAACGCUGGCGGCAGGCUUAACACAUGCAAGUCGAACGGUCCUUCGGGAUAGUGGCGGACGGGUGAGUAACACGUGGGAACGUACCCUUAGGUUCGGAACAACACAGGGAAACUUGUGCUAAUACCGGAUAAGCCCUUCGGGGAAAGAUUUAUCGCCUUUGGAGCGGCCCGCGUCUGAUUAGCUUGUUGGUGAGGUAAUGGCUCACCAAGGCUACGAUCAGUAGCUGGUCUGAGAGGAUGGCCAGCCACACUGGGACUGAGACACGGCCCAGACUCCUACGGGAGGCAGCAGUGGGGAAUCUUGCGCAAUGGGCGAAAGCCUGACGCAGCCAUGCCGCGUGGAUGAUGAAGGUCUUAGGAUUGUAAAAUCCUUUCACCGGGGACGAUGAUAACGGUACCCGGAGAAGAAGCCCCGGCUAACUUCGUGCCAGCCGCCGCAGUAA
rnacentral:rRNA from 1 species